CUCAGUUCCCUGCAUGGUAAACAAUGACAGCUCUUUGGGCUACUCCCAGAGCUGCCCCCACCAGGGUAGUCCCAGGGCUGCCCCCACCACAGUACUCAAAGUGCCUCCCAGAAGACGAACAUCAAACCAUUCGGCUCAUCUCAAACAUGACACUGGAAACCAUGUCUACUUGUGUGCUGGUACAGGAGCAGCAGCAAGCCCAGUCGUGUCCUCCUGUAGGUAUAUGUAUUCAACUGUUCGAGGGCAUGAGAGUCAGAGUACGGACAGUAAAUAUUCCUAGAAGGGUUGACCUACGGCUGACCCAGUUAUUCCAGGUCUCUCUCCAGCUACCCCAAACACAAUAAAACACUGCAAAGCCAAAUUGUGCAGGUACAUAAAUACCCCUCAGAACUUGCUCAAACUUGUCCCAUACCAUGUGUGCGUGGUAUAUCCCUGGAAUCAAGACUAGGGGGUACUUGAAGGGGUUGCAGGAAGGCACCCCACCAAGGCAGAGCAGAAAAAAACUUCUCUUGAAGAUCUAGGUAGAGAGAGGUCAAGAGUUUUGGAGGCAUAGGGCUGAUCUUUUGAAGGAUUUGGACCACCUGAACCCAUCACUCCUGAAGAACUAAAAUCUACAGAGAAGCAAUACAGAUCUCAGAAGUGAGAUCCUGCUCCCCAAGGUAGGAGGAGACAACUAGAUGACUACUACCUUGGCACGGAGUCCUAAAAAAGUAGAAAGGACCAAGAAGUCCCACCAACAUCCCCAGGGUCCCAUGGAAGAAUGAACUUGCAGCAGGAGCUACUGGGUUAAGGCUGACACAGGCAGAAAGACCGUAUCAGGCAUCAUCAUGAACAGAUGGGCCAUCAAGGACCCCUACCCACCCUAGCAAGGUACAGCAACCUAUGACUUAAGCAGUGUUCUGGACAAAAGCGGGAGGUUCUCUGUGGCCAACUGAGCUCUCAGAUGCUCAAAGCUAGAGGUGAGUUAUGCUGAGUAUUUCCAACGAACGCAGCUAAGCUACAGAACUCUCACCCUCCCACUCCACCUGCCGCUUGAGUAUACUGGUUGGGGUGUGUUUCUGCUCAUUUGAGCCACUUGGAACCUAGGAGUAGACAUGAGGUCCCUGCUCAUUGUCAGGGACCCACACUGGGUUGGAAUUUUCCCUGAAUUUGCACUUCUAUUUUUCCCCCUUGUCAGUAAAUUUGCCUAUUGUUAUACUAUUAUCUCACGGUGUGUGUUACGGCUAAGUAAAACGUUCUUUGGAUCAAGGCCAGUUGUUCAAACACCGAAAAAUGUAGCAGGUAUUAAUGCAAGUUACAGCCCUAGGGUAAAAUUUUCAGGCAUGAAGCCCUUUACAGGAUAUCGGUGCCCUGUGGCUGACAUGGUCCGUGUGCCCCUGGGGACCUCUAAGGCUGCUGACUGUGAAUGGGGGAAAGCCCCUGUGCAUGGGGGCUUUCCUACAGAAGGGAAGCUGCAGGCUCUCCAGAUCAGUGCUUCUGGUUUGAUCUAUCUGCACAUGGGCUAGCACAUGCACACAUCCUCAUGCAGACCAUCCUCAGAGCUGGACCAGGCAAAGGUAGCUUUGGGAUCCAGCUUAUCUCUGAGCCCCUGCCUAGAACGCUUGCCUGGUGUUCCCUUAGCUCCAUGGAGAACUAGUGAGAGUAGGAAUCCCCCAUUUCUAAAGGACACUUUCAAACUCAUCGUAGCAUAAAUCAAUGCACAGGCCAGGAACUUACUUAUGUCCUGCAUUCCCUUAGGAUGGAUUCAAAGCCAUUUUUUUACUACAUGGGUCCUGGCUAGCCUGGAACUCAUUAUGUAGAGCAGGUUGGCCCUGGCCUCAGUCUCACAGAGAUCCACCUGCCUCUGCCUCCAGAAUGUUGGGCGUGAAGGUGCUUUGUGCUUGGGGAGUCACACAGCAUACACAGCUCACUGGCACCUAAUCUCACCCCCUCAGCAGGGAGGUCUGAUGGACAUGAGGCUGGGGAAGACAGCAGGCAGGUGUUUGUAAAGAUAAGGACAUGAGUUCCUGGGUAGGCAGUGGGCAGCACAUCUUUCCCAGCAAGUUUCACUCAACAGCCAUUGAACUGCUCAUCCUCUGCCACUGCUGCAGUGAUCCAUCCACCUAAGUCCAAGAAUCCACCCACCGAGCCCCAUGGCUGGGCUUUCUGGUGGUUCUCUCUCAUUGGAUGUAUCCUCCUCCUGGCAUGUGUCUGACAUGUAUUUCCAUUGGAGGGCACCAUGCACAUCAUCCAAAGUCUAAGCACGCUUUUGAAGCUGAAGCACACAUUUCAGUUUUAGGAAACAAAAAUCUUUAUUAAAAAAAUAACUUACAAAUCGAGAGAAUGCUGUUUCCUCUGUUCACGGGUUUGCAGCCCGAAACGUAACUCUACAAUACGGUUCGUGUCACAAACUGCAUUGCUGGGCAGUUUCCGUUCCAUAUGCUGUGCCAGCAUUAAACACCACACAGAUAUAAAACUAUUGUAAAUAAAACAUUCCAGCCAGGACUGGCAUAAAUUUAUAUAUAUAUUUAUAUUUUAUAUAUAUUUAUAUCAUUUCGAAUCAGCUAACAAUGAAUGUCAUCCUUAGUCAAAACUCAGAGUCCUGCUAAUCUGAGGCCUACAUGGUCCAAAUACAACAGCCUUACACCUCCCAUACAAUAUUUAAAAUAUAUUUAGCUUUCAAAUGCAUUUAUAAGGUACAUCCAUAGUGAGAAAAUAAAGUCUUAAAACUUAAAUACAAAAGUCACCAAGUAAAAACUUGAAGAAACACAAAAGAUUCUAUUGUACACGUGUCCAGAAGAGUCUGUCCUGAUGCUGGCUUUGACACACAGCUCUGGCUGCACAG
rnacentral:sRNA from 1 species